UCGGGUGUAGUGCAUGGUACACGGCAGGAUCGGGUACUUGUUGGUGAAGCACCUUCGGGUUCGACUCCCGGCGCUUGAG